UGGGGAAUAUUGCACAAUGGGCGCAAGCCUGAUGCAGCCAUGCCGCGUGUAUGAAGAAGGCCUUCGGGUUGUAAAGUACUUUCAGCGAGGAGGAAGGCGUUGUGGUUAAUAACCGCAACGAUUGACGAUACUCGCAGAAGAAGCACCGGCUAACUCCGUGCCAGCAGCCGCGGUAAUACGGAGGGUGCAAGCGUUAAUCGGAAUUACUGGGCGUAAAGCGCACGCAGGCGGUCUGUCAAGUCGGAUGUGAAAUCCCCGGGCUCAACCUGGGAACUGCAUCCGAAACUGGCAGGCUAGAGUCUUGUAGAGGGGGGUAGAAUUCCAGGUGUAGCGGUGAAAUGCGUAGAGAUCUGGAGGAAUACCGGUGGCGAAGGCGGCCCCCUGGACAAAGACUGACGCUCAGGUGCGAAAGCGUGGGGAGCAAACA
rnacentral:rRNA from 1 species